rnacentral:rRNA from 1 species
GAGGAAAAGAAACCAACAGGGAUUGCCUUAGUAACGGCGAGUGAAGCGGCAAAAGCUCAGAUUUGAAAUCUGGCGUCAUUUUGGCGUCCGAGUUGUAAUCUGUAGAGGAGUAUUCGAGUGUGGAUUUGGCUUAAGUUCCUUGGAACAGGACGUCAUAGAGGGUGAGAACCCCGUUAACGGCCUACGUCUUAUGCUCAUGUGAAUCUCCUUCAACGAGUCGAGUUGUUUGGGAAUGCAGCUCUAAAUGGGUGGUAAAUUCCAUCUAAAGCUAAAUACUGGCAAGAGACCGAUAGCGCACAAGUAGAGUGAUCGAAAGAUGAAAAGAACUCUGAACAGAGAGUUAAAUAGUACGUGAAAUUGUUGAAAGGGAAGCACUUGCUACCAGACACGCCUGUAGUUGAUCAACCUCCAUUCUUGGUGGUGCACUCGGCUAUAGGUGGGUCAGCAUCAGUUACAACGGUGGGAUAAAGACUUUGGGAAUGUAGCUUCCUUCGGGAAGUGUUAUAGCCCUUGGUGUAAUACCAUCUGAUGUGACUGAGGCCCGCGCUUCGGCGAGGAUGCUGGCAUAAUGGUCGUAAGUGACCCGUCUUGAAACACGGACCAAGGAGUCUAACAUCUAUGCGAGUGUUUGGGCGUCAAAACCCUUACGYGSAAUGMAAGUGAMUGAAGGUGGGAACCGCAAGGUGCACCAUCGACCGAUCCUGAUGUUUUCGGAUGGAUUUGAGUAGGAGCAUAGCUGUUGGGACCCGAAAGAUGGUGAACUAUGCCUGAAUAGGGUGAAGCCAGAGGAAACUCUGGUGGAGGCUCGCAGCGGUUUCUGACGUGCAAAUCGAUCGUCAAAUU